rnacentral:rRNA from 1 species
UACCCCAACAGCUAGCCCCUCCCCCUAAACUCAACAAACCACAUUAACAACCCCAAAUAACCCAAAGCUUAAUAAGCAAACCAUUUUUCCACCAAAGUA